UAAGGAGCAUCCAAGCAGAGAGGCAGUUCUGGGCGGCUUCCUUUAAAACUGUAGUUUCCACAAGUGAGAAACUAGGGAAAGCAGAUAUUUUCUUCUCCAAUACUCUUCAAACACUCAUUUCUCAUCCCUGAGACCCAGACCCCCUGACUUUCUCACUCUUCUCUGAAUCUCCUGCUUCUCUUGCAUAUUUUGUUCUCAUAUUCUCCGCUUUCAUCCAUUAAAUACUUCUUUUUCUUUUUCCUUGUCCCUUUUCUCCACCUCACAGUCAGCCUAAUCAUGGCACAGACAACUAGAGGGAGAUUGUUCCACUCCCUUUCUGAAAUUUCUGAAAUCCAUCUACAGAAUCGAGGUCGGUAAUCCUCAUCUUUGUCCAUGUUUCCUAAGUCACAAGGACAAGCAGAAAAAGGAAAAGAUAACACCUGUGUGGUUCCCCCAGAAGAAGGAGUAAGAUAUACACAUCUCUGAAGUCCCGGCCAUGAAAUGGAUAGAAAUGGCAGAAUUCAAGCUGGAGUUUUACAAGUUGAAUGUACAGUGGCUCCUAACCUCUUCCCAAAGGGCAGAUGAUCCUUUAUUCUUAAGUCUUCCCUUUCCUGUGAGCGAUUCUCCGUGACAUCUCAGAAUGAGUAGGACCUCCUGUGUGAGCAGACGUUUGGAAAAGCCACAAGGGAUGAGUGUCAUUACACAAAUCUGCAGGGCCAUGGGUCAUAUUGAAAUGUGAACAUAUCCUAUGGUCCCAGUGUUGGGAGUACAUGAAGAGUGGAAGAGAAAGGAAGUGUGAAAUGGAGGAAGCCAGAAAUCAAUCUGAAGAAAAUUCUCCCAACAACAGUUGUGCAAACUUUCAGUUUCUCAUCAAUGAUUUUCUUUGCAAAGAUGCCUGGUCAAGAUGGACCUUCUCUCCUGACCAGAAUAUACUGCAGCAUAUACAGUUAUAAACACAUCAUACAUUAUUUUUCCAUUUUGAUGGGGACUAUGAGAAAUAAAAUACUAGACUUAUCAGAAUUCCUAUGAUUGUAGAGCACAAACUGGAAGCAGCAGUAAAAGCUAUGUGUAUUAAGCCACUGUAUUCAUCUAAACUAGGAGUAGUACAAAAUUUCAAUCAACUAUGCUAAAGGAGAGAGCGAGCUAUCUUUCUAUUCUCUCUGUAGAAAAUACUACAAAAUCAUUUUAACAUGAAAAGGCAAAGAGUAUGCAGUCAAAAACGUAGGAAGACAGCAUAGUGGUAUGUCAAGCAGUCAGUUAAUAAAAAUAUGUCAUUUUUCUUUUCUUUUUUUUUUGAGGAAGAUUGGCCCUGGGCUAACAUCUGUGCCCAUCUUCUUCUACUUUAUAUGUGGGUCACCUGCCCCAACAUGGCUUGACAAGCAGUGCGUAGGAUCCGAACUGGCAAAUCCUAGGCUGCCAAAGCAGUGUGUGCGAACUUAACUGCUCCGCCAUCAGGCCAGCCCCUGUCAUUUUUCUUGAUUUUGUGAUACUUGUCGUAUUGGUCACAUUUUUAGAAGUUAUUUUUUGGGAUUUCUUUUCACUUUCUAAAUAAAUCCUCAGUUGUUGCUUAAUUCUUCCAAUUGCAGAAGCUUCAUGUUUCCCUAAACCCCAUUUGCUCUGCUCCCUAAGUCUAUGCCUCGCUAACAGGCACAAAUGAUUCUGCAAAUUCCUGUCUGCUGUUCAAAGUGACGUCAGGCGCUUUGUCUCCUGGGUAUGAGGAGCAAUUGUAGAUUUGCUCUAACAACAAAUAGGUAAGAGUUAUGAACAUGCCUUUCUUUUCUUCAGCAGAGUUAAACAAGGGCUCACUCUCUGGAUUUCCAGAUGCACUUAAAAUGAAAUAAUAAUGUUAGGCCAGUCUUGCCCUGCUUUAAAUUAAUCAUUCCAGGAAGAGACAUUAAACUUUUCAGACCACCAAUGUGCACAAAUGCUUUAGUGCCCCAGACCAUACACUCUCUCUUGAUUAUUUGGGACACAAGGAAAGGUAAGCUCAGUAAAUGAGGUUGUUUUAUGAUCAAUUUAAGUAAUCUGAAAAGGAAAUUAAUACUUUUAUUACUUUCUAUAAGUGAAAAACUUCCUUAAAAAUCUAUAAGAGUUCUUUAUGUUAUAGUAGCUAGGACUCUCUGAGCCAAAUAAUGGAUCCAGAGAAAUAACAGAAAGUUAGGGAAUGGAUGCAUGGCCCCACAAAUCAAAAUGGAAUAGACAAGAAAAACUGGAAACUAAUCUGGGGCUAAAGAAAAUCAAUACUAAUGGAGAGAAGCAAAUUCACUUAAUUAGAAAUCAGGCUGUGAUUUAAAAAUAAAGUAUUUCUUAGUCUUUCUGAAUAGUAAGAAUGUUUGCUGGGGCUACUGCAAGGAUGGGAAGGGAGUCUGGAGAAAACAUGGAGAGCGUUUGUGACCCUCUACUCCACAUUAGUACUCUCAGUACUUAUUAUGUGAGAAAAAAAUCUCUUUCAAACACUUGUCUCAAACUUUAAGUGCUCACAGCCAUCCAGUAAAGAAAGUAAAAAUAUCCUAAUUGAACAGAAAAGGAAACUAAGUUUACUUCUCUGCCCUCAUUUUUUACCUCUUUCUGCCUCAACCAGCUCCAGCCAUGCUGGCUUUUGUUCUGUUUCUGAAACACCAAACAUACUCCGGUCUCUGAGCCUUUGAAUUAGCUCUUCCUUCUGCCUAGGACAUUCCUCCUAGAUUCUACAUGGCUCACUCCCUUACUCUACUUAGAUCUCUGUUCAAAUGUCACCCUAUCGAGAAUCCCUACUCCAUAACUUUGUCCCCUUACCCCGUUUUAUUUUUCUUCUUAGUAUGUCACGGAGUUUUUGUUGCUCCUAAUUGUCUUCAAGAGCUAAUGGACAUUUGGAGAUAGAACUUGAUCACUGCAUAGCUCAAAAGGAACACAGCAAAUAGCUUUGCUCUACAACUGGUCAUACAAAUGUUGGUUUCCAAUUUGAUGCCUUGCAGUAUCUUACAUGAGAGAUUUUCAAACAAAGCUCACAAUGAACUCUUAACUGGUUGUACAUGGUCAAAUUCUUCUACUAGAUGGACUAUUUAUUUCUUUAAAUACUGGCAUUUAUAUGACUCAAGGUCCCAGUAGGUAUCAGUUGGCAUACUCGAAUUAAGAAAACUCUAGGAUUUUUUAAGUAAGGGACAGUUUACAUGGUGUAUUAGUUUCCGAGAGCUGCUGUCCAACAAACUAGGUGGCUGAAACAGAAGAAAUUUAUUGUCUCACAGUUGUGGAGGCCAAAAGUCCAAGACCAAGAGAGGGUGACAGAUGCCCUAGAGAUCUGAAGAGGGACAAAAAAUCCAUACCUCUCUUGACAGAAUAAACAAGUUUUUCAGGUUCCAUGUCAGUUUGUGGAAGAUUCACUCUGAAAUCCAGUGACCUCUGGCCCGCACGCUGGAGGAGUGGUCCUGAGUCCAUUAAAAUUCAUGCUCAGAGUCUGAUGGAUCAUAUGGGAAUCGCUGUAACAGAAAUCAUUCCUGAGGCACAGUGUGUUAGCCCCCCUUCUCCUCGUCACAGUGACGAUGGCUCAGAGGAGCAGUCGUGGAUUUAACGAAUCCUCAGCUAGAGAGAAAAUUCUAACUGGGAAAAGGUUGAAUGACCUCCCGCCAAAGCUGCUGAUGAAGGAGACACUAAGAAGAGCAAAUAUCAGCAAAAAUCUGAUAAUAUUUGCCUUUCCAAUGGUAAAGACAACACUCAGAAAUGCUGUGGCCAAGUAAGGAAUUGGAAGAAAUAAAAAAGGAAGGGAAAGGAAGG
ensembl:lncRNA